GGGCCCAUAGCUCAGGGGUUAGAGCGGCCGGCUCAUAACCGGUCGGUCCUUGGUUCGAAUCCAAGUGGGCCCA
rnacentral:tRNA from 1 species